CAGCAGUCCCGGUGGUUAGCAGCCCAAGGAAGGCAAUGUACUUCUAUAGAAGGGUGCAACCUUACAGAUGGAGCAAUGAGUCCAGAAUUCUCUUUUCUCAACACUAGAUGGCAGUAGAGUUAAAGAAAAAAAUCCCAGCAGUUCUUUGUACAGGGAUUUGGUGAUUUUUCCCAUAAAGCUGCGAUGAGGAUGAACUCAGAGCAAAAUCUAUCUAGAAUGUGAAAUAAUACCUGUGGCUGAAAAGAAGCUCUUUUGACCCAGGAUCCUGGUCCUCUGCAUAACAGUCAAGACCAUUCUCAUUUGCCUGAAAGUGUUUUAGAGAAGAAAGAGAAAUUCAGGACCAAUCAGCAAUUCCCUUUUCCACUCUUAUGAAGAAAGAAAAAGGAUUUGUGUUAUUUGAGAUUUAAGUUACUUCCUUUUUUCCUAUGACAGGUUUUGGUAAAUGCCCAGCUCCAAUAAUACGUUAACAUUUUCAGAGUCAAUCUGGGUUAUAAGUAAAUAAACUCCAUUUUGAUCUUG
rnacentral:lncRNA from 1 species